AUAGCUUCUCGGCUUUUUGGCUAAAAUCAUUUGUAGAAUCUGUUCUUAUCAGCUUAAUGUCAGGCAUGCUGGGCAUUGCCCGGCACCAAUAUUAAACUGAUUGUUGCUUCUCGAGUUAACACCGAAGCUUGCUUCAGUUGACUCACGGGUUCUCCCGGUCUAACACUAUCAUCAUGAUGUCUGCUUCAG